ACAGGCUUAACACAUGCAAGUCGAGGGGAAACGACAUCGAAAGCUUGCUUUUGAUGGGCGUCGACCGGCGCACGGGUGAGUAACGCGUAUCCAACCUGCCCACCACUUGGGGAUAACCUUGCGAAAGUAAGACUAAUACCCAAUGACGUCUCUAGAAGACAUCUGAAAGAGAUUAAAGAUUUAUCGGUGAUGGAUGGGGAUGCGUCUGAUUAGCUUGUUGGCGGGGUAACGGCCCACCAAGGCUACGAUCAGUAGGGGUUCUGAGAGGAAGGUCCCCCACAUUGGAACUGAGACACGGUCCAAACUCCUACGGGAGGCAGCAGUGAGGAAUAUUGGUCAAUGGACGAGAGUCUGAACCAGCCA
rnacentral:rRNA from 1 species